CGGUGCACCACUCCACUCAGUGAGAAAGACAAUUAUCAACCACAGAGGAUCAUCAGAAGAUCUGAUAUUGGGAGAAUAAAACACAGCCACCUUCGAUAAAGUAUUUAGAUCUGAUCUUCCUGACUAGAAUUUAUCACUACAAUGGAAUACUGUCAAUGUAUACUGGUUUCUCUAUGUGUCAUGAUGUUUGCUGUACAGGGUGUUAUUUGUAGUAAAAAUGCAGAACAAGUACCUAAUGCCAUGUCAGCUGAUAGUCCUAUACAUCAAAACAAGAGGUCAGGAUAUGAUGAUAAUAUUGAUACCAUAGAUGAAAUCUACUAUCCAUACAAUGAAUUGAGUCAGCCGCUUGAUGAAGAAAUGAAACGAGGAACCCUUUUUAGAUUCGG